GCGCCCGUAGCUCAACGGAUAGAGCGUCUGACUACGGAUCAGAAGGUUGGGGGUUCGAAUCCCUUCGGGCGCG
rnacentral:tRNA from 2 species